rnacentral:rRNA from 1 species
GAUGAACGCUGGCGGCGUGCCUAAUACAUGCAAGUCGAGCGAACAGACCAGGAGCUUGCUCCUCUGACGUUAGCGGCGGACGGGUGAGUAACACGUGGAUAACCUACCUAUAAGACUGGGAUAACUUCGGGACACCGGAGCUAAUCCCGGAUAAUAUAUUGAACCGCAUGGUUCAAUAGUGAAAGACGGUUUUGCUGUCACUUAUAGAUGGAUCCGCGCCGCAUUAGCUAGUUGGUAAGGUAACGGCUUACCAAGGCGACGAUGCGUAGCCGACCUGAGAGGGUGGUCGGCCACACGGGAACUGAGACAGGGUCCAGACUCCUACGGGAGGCAGCAGUAGGGAAUCUUCCGCAAUGGGCGAAAGCCUGACGGAGCAACGCCGCGUGAGUGAUGAAGGUCUUCGGAUCGGAAAACUCUGUUAUUAGGGAAGAACAAAUGUGUAAGUAACUAUGCACGUCUUGACGGUACCUAAUCAGAAAGCCACGGCUAACUACGUG